AGUCGACGCUUUGUCUUUAACUGAUCUGACGAGCUUGCUCUGAUGUGAUUUUAUCUGACAAAGAGUGGCGAACGGGUGAGUAACACGUGGGUAACCUACCUCUUAGCAGGGGAUAACAUUUGGAAACAAGUGCUAAUACCGUAUAAUACCAACAACCGCAUGGUUGUUGGUUGAAAGAUGGUUCUGCUAUCACUAAGAGAUGGACCCGCGGUGCAUUAGCUAGUUGGUAAGGUAACGGCUUACCAAGGCAAUGAUGCAUAGCCGAGUUGAGAGACUGAUCGGCCACAAUGGGACUGAGACACGGCCCAUACUCCUACGGGAGGCAGCAGUAGGGAAUCUUCCACAAUGGGCGCAAGCCUGAUGGAGCAACGCCGCGUGUGUGAUGAAGGGUUUCGGCUCGUAAAACACUGUUAUAAGAGAAGAACGGCACUGAGAGUAACUGUUCAGUGUGUGACGGUAUCUUACCAGAAAGGAACGGCUAAAUACGUGCCAGCAGCCGCGGUAAUACGUAUGUUCCAAGCGUUAUCCGGAUUUAUUGGGCGUAAAGCGAGCGCAGACGGUUAUUUAAGUCUGAAGUGAAAGCCCUCAGCUCAACUGAGGAAUGGCUUUGGAAACUGGAUGACUUGAGUGCAGUAGAGGAAAGUGGAACUCCAUGUGUAGCGGUGAAAUGCGUAGAUAUAUGGAAGAACACCAGUGGCG
rnacentral:rRNA from 1 species